UUUGAUCCUCGGCUCAGAUUGAACGCUGGCGGCAUGCCUUACACAUGCAAGUCGAACGGCAGCACGGGUGCUUGCACCUGGUGGCGAGUGGCGAACGGGUGAGUAAUACAUCGGAGCAUGUCCUGUAGUGGGGGAUAGCCCGGCGAAAGCCGGAUUAAUACCGCAUACGAUCUACGGAUGAAAGCGGGGGAUCGCAAGACCUCGCGCGAUUGGAGCGGCCGAUAUCAGAUUAGGUAGUUGGUGGGGUAAAGGCCCACCAAGCCAACGAUCUGUAGCUGGUCUGAGAGGACGACCAGCCACACUGGGACUGAGACACGGCCCAGACUCCUACGGGAGGCAGCAGUGGGGAAUUUUGGGACAAUGGGCGCAAGCCCUGAUCCAGCCAUGCCGCGUGCGGGAAGAA
rnacentral:rRNA from 1 species